rnacentral:rRNA from 1 species
UACGUAGGCAGCGAGCGUUGUUCGGAGUUACUGGGCGUAAAGGGUGUGUAGGCGGUUGUUUAAGUUUGGUGUGAAAUCUCCCGGCUCAACUGGGAGGGUGCGCCGAAUACUGAAUGACUUGGAGUGCGGGAGAGGAGGAGGUGAAUUCCUGGUGUAGCGGUGAAAUGCGUAGAUAUCAGGAGGAACACCGGUGGUGUAGACGGCUCUCUGGACCGUAACUGACGCUGAGACACGAAAGCGUGGGUAGCAAACAGG